CGCGCAACCGUCUCCGAGCGUCGCGCUCGUUCGCAGUCCGUCAGUCUAUCGGCAACCUGCGUACCAUUCGUGUCGUAGUGCUUACGUAACAAUAUUAUUAUUAUUCUUACUUGCCUGGCCGGUGUGUUCGUUCAUUUAUAAUUGCGGUCCAUGUUUUUUCGUUUUCACACUCAAUCGACUCGUCUUUUACUCGGUCUCUCCGUUAACCUCUCACCUGAAUCGUCACACGUACACACACAUACGCAUACGUAAAACCGUUCUACACAUACACACACAGUCACACGCAUAUAAACAUCAGCAGCUCACAAGUACAAACGACGGUCGCACGCGGCGCGCUUCGAAAAAGAACAGAAGGAAGGAAAACGCGCUAAUAACGUCUUCCGCGAAUCGCCGUUUACCUGUCUACGCGCAAGUCGUACGCGGAUACACGUCCUCCUGGUCGUCGUGGACAUCGAUUGCUGACACGAUUAAUCGUAUCGUCGACGAAGCGGCGACGCGUCGAGGGAACGGAGUGGGUUCGACACCUUACCGGCUGUACCAGGGCAAUCCCGGCGAUAGAUGAACAAGUGUCGUCGACGAGCCUACCGUUGUAGAGCACGUUCUCUGGGUUCGGCCCUCCUCCACGGGCACGGUGUAUCGAUUGCUCUAAAAUAGACGCGUGGGAACACCUGCAGGCUACAUACACAUUCUACGUAUUGCUCAGACUGUCUCUCUCUCUCUUUCUCCGUCCCGCCUCCCCCCUCUCUUACUUUCUCUCCGUCAUUGGUCUUUCUGGACGCCCUUGCAGCGUGUGACAGGUGCAUCGAGAAGCCGAUAGCAGCACCGCGCUGUCGUAGGGCUGGAGGUGGUGGUGGCGGUGGAGGCGGCGAAGAAGAAACGUAACAGGAAGCGGAAGAAGAAGUGAAAUCCAACUGGAUAUUGCGAGCAAGAGAGAGGGGGAGAACGGAAGGCAACGGAAAGCGACAAAGGGAAGCUUGAAGGGAAAAGGUGGAGAAGGAGGAAGUAGGCGAAACGCCUGAGUUUUCUCUUACGAGUAAAGGGUUAUCCCCAUUGAUACGUCCUGGAGGCGCCUGUCGUCUUCGCCGGUACAACCAUAACGCCGCCCGCUUUAAAACGCCCGAGACGGGAUACGGUGGAUUCCUCGCCGCCACCCGCUCGAACCGCAGCACCCGGAAAUCCCGGACCGUCAAGCAAACUCGCUUGCAUCAUGGACGCGCCGCUCUCUCAGAGUAUGGACUCCGUCAACACGGUGGCCACCGGCGAAGACGAGGUGCGCACCUUGUUCGUAAGCGGCUUACCGAUGGAUGCCAAGCCGAGGGAGCUGUAUCUGCUGUUCAGAGCAUACGAGGGGUACGAGGGGUCCCUGCUGAAAGUCACGAGUAAAAAUGGGAAAACAGCGUCGCCGGUGGGAUUCGUGACUUUUCACACGAGGGCCGGUGCGGAGGCGGCGAAACAGGACCUGCAGCAGGGGGUUAGAUUCGAUCCUGAUAUGCCACAAACCAUACGUUUGGAAUUUGCAAAAAGUAACACAAAGGUUAGCAAACCCAAGCAACCAGCCGCUGCAGCAGCCACCUCGCACCCUGCUCUGAUGCACCCUCUAACUGGACACCUAGGGAGCCCAUUCUUCCCUGGUGGUCCUGAAUUGUGGCACCAUCCACUGGCGUACUCGACUGCUGGCGAAUUACCCGGCACGCUGCAACAUGCGACGCUGGUCCAUCCGGCGUUACAUCCUCAGGUCCCCGCGCCAAUGUCUAUGCCGCAUCCUACGACGCUGACGUCGAUACACGCCUCGCUGCCCCAUUUCUUACCUUCGCCGGCACUGGCAUCGCCGGUGGGUUCGCCCUCGUCUCAGCCGAACAUAGCCGUCAGCAAUGCACCGUGUUCCACCCUCUUUGUGGCGAACCUUGGCCAGUUCGUUUCUGAGCACGAGCUCAAGGACCUCUUCAGCAGACUCUAUUAGAUGGAUGUACGCAGACUUGUGUGACUGGCUGUAGGUCGCUGAACUUGACUUAAAAACGACUGCCACCCUAUACGGGAUCAAAGAGAGAAGAAAACCGGCAACCUUAAGAUCGACAUCAACGGCAUGUAAGAAAACCGAGGGAAAAUCGUACGUGCUUACACCCUGCUGGGUUGGGGGGAGGAAGACGAGCGAAACGACUGACAAUUGGAUCCCAAGUCUUUGCGACGGUAAUGAAGGAAAAUUCAAAUAUCAACAACAACAGCAACAACAACAACAACAACAACAACAACAACAGCGGCAUCGACAGUUCCUGGAUCGGUUUGGCCACUUUCUCCUGAAAUUGUUGCGAAGACUGAAGACCCGUGAGGAAGGCAAGACACGGGACAGGCUAGACAUAGAGCA